UACGUAGGGACCAAGCGUUGUUCGGAUUUACUGGGCGUAAAGGGCGCGUAGGCGGCAAUUCAAGUCAGCUGUGAAAUCUCCGGGCUUAACUCGGAACGGUCAGCUGAUACUGCUUUGCUAGAGUGCAGAAGGGGCAAUCGGAAUUCUUGGUGUAGCGGUGAAAUGCGUAGAUAUCGAGAGGAACACCUGCGGCGAAGGCGGGUUGCUGGGCUGACACUGACGCUGAUGCGCGAAAGCCAGGGGAGCGAACGGG
rnacentral:rRNA from 1 species